rnacentral:tRNA from 1 species
CCUGGUGGCGCUGAUGGUAAAGAAUCUGCCUGCAAUGCAGGAGACCUGGGUUUGAUCCCUGUGUCAGGA